GGCUCCGUAGUUCAAGGGAUAGAAUGGUAGUUUCCGGAACUAUAGAUACAGGUUCGAGUCCUGUCGGGGCUA
rnacentral:tRNA from 1 species